UCCCAGAAGAGCUCCCUCCACACACUGAUAGGAUGUGAGCCCAUCCCCCCUCCCCCCUUCUCGCAGGUUCACACCCGAGACUCCCUGCAAGCCUGUGUUUGGUUGACUCCCGCCUGGAGUGAUGGGGGACGUUCAUCAUGGGGAUAUUGGGAUCCUUUGUCUGCACCACGGCCAUCAUCUCUGGUUACAUGUCACCUUCUAUAUGCUUCGAGCGAAUACAAAUCCCCCUGAAGAAGACCAAAUUGUGGUCGAAACGC